AUAUCUCUCUGUACGGGAAGGAUGAGAAGCUUCGACUAAGGUUCGAUUCGAGCGAAAGCGAGAAAGCGUUGCCAACGG
rnacentral:sRNA from 1 species